AGCAGCCUGUGGUAUCCUUGUCUUCAGCCGAGGCUGAAUACAGGGCUAUCAGCAAAACUGUUGGUGAAAUUACUUGGCUCACUCGACUGUUCUCUGAUUUUGGUGUUCCUGUCUCCUAUGCUGUGCCUGUAUUCUGUGAUAAUCAGGCUGCCAUACACAUAGCAAAAAAUCCAGUUUUUCACGAACGGAUUAAACACAUUGAGGUUGAUUGCCAUUUCAUUCGUACCAAGCUUCAGGAUGGUCUCAUCUCUCUGCAUCAUGUUUCCUCUGGUUCUCAACCUGUAUUCUGUGAUAAUCAGGCUGCAAUACACAUAGCCAAAAAUUCAGUUUUUCACGAACGGACUAAACACAUUGAGGUUGAUUGCCAUUUCAUUCGUACCAAGCUUCAGGAUGGUCUCAUAUCUCUGCAU
rnacentral:lncRNA from 1 species